rnacentral:rRNA from 13 species
AAUGACAGUACCUGGUAAAGAAACCCCGGCUAACUCCGUGCCAGCAGCCGCGGUAAUACGGAGGGGGUUAGCGUUGUUCGGAAUUACUGGGCGUAAAGCGCGCGUAGGCGGACCAGAAAGUAUGGGGUGAAAUCCCGGGGCUCAACCCCGGAACUGCCUCAUAAACUCCUGGUCUUGAGUUCGAGAGAGGUGAGUGGAAUUCCAAGUGUAGAGGUGAAAUUCGUAGAUAUUCGG